UACAGAGGGUGCAAGCGUUGUUCGGAAUUAUUGGGCGUAAAGGGCGCGUAGGCGGUGCUGUAAGUCUGUAGUGAAAUCUCUGGGCUCAACUCAGAGUCUGCUAUAGAAACUGCAGUGCUGGAGUGUGGGAGAGGUGAGUGGAAUUCCCGGUGUAGCGGUGAAAUGCGUAGAUAUUGGGAGGAACACCAGUGGCGAAGGCGGCUCACUGGACCGGUACUGACGCUGAGGUGCGAAAGCGUGGGGAGCAAACAGG
rnacentral:rRNA from 1 species